GUACGGGAGGCAGCAGUGAGGAAUAUUGGUCAAUGGGCGAGAGCCUGAACCAGCCAUCCCGCGUGCAGGAAGAAGGCCCUAUGGGUUGUAAACUGCUUUUGAGCAAGAAGAAAAUUAUCCUCGCGCAGGGUAUUUGACGGUAUUGCCAGAAUAAGCACCGGCUAACUCCGUGCCAGCAGCCGCGGUAAUACGGAGGGUGCAAGCGUUAUCCGGAUUUAUUGGGUUUAAAGGGUGCGUAGGCGGUAGAAUAAGUCAGUGGUGAAAUGUUGCAGCUUAACUGUAGAAUUGCCAUUGAAACUGUUUUACUUGAGUUAUCCUGAGGUAGGCGGAAUGUGUAGUGUAGCGGUGAAAUGCUUAGAUAUUACACAGAACACCGAUUGCGAAGGCAGCUUACUAAGGGUCGACUGACGCUGAGGCACGAAAGCGUGGGGAUCGAACAGGAUUAGAUACCCCGGU
rnacentral:rRNA from 1 species